CCUACGGGAGGCAGCAGUGGGGAAUAUUGGACAAUGGGGGGAACCCUGAUCCAGCGACGCCGCGUGGGGGAAGAAGGAUUUCGGUAUGUAAAGCCCUAUCAGUAGGGAAGAAAAUGACGGUAGCUGACGAAGAAGCCCCGGCUAACUACGUGCCAGCAGCCGCGGCAAUACGGAGGGGGCAAGCGUUAUCCGGAUUCACUGGGGGUAAAGGGAGCGUAGGCGGGGGAGCAAGUCUGAUGUGAAAGGACGGGGCUCAACCCCGGGACUGCAUUGGAAACUGUUGGACUAGAGUACGGGAGAGGUAAGCGGAAUUCUUGGGGUAGCGGUGAAAUGCGUAGAUAUUAAGAGGAACACCCGUGGCGAAGGCGGCUUACUGGACUGUAACUGACGUUGAGGCUCGAAAGCGUGGGGAGCAAACAGGAUUAGAUACCCGUGUAGUC
rnacentral:rRNA from 1 species